rnacentral:rRNA from 1 species
CCUACGGGGGGCAGCAGUAGGGAAUCUUUCACAAUGGGCGAAAGCCUGAUGGAGCAGCGCCGCGUGCAGGAUGAAGGCCUUCGGGUUGUAAACUGCUUUUAUAAGCGAGAAAUAUGAUGGUAACUUAUGAAUAAGGAUCGGCUAACUACGUGCCAGCAGCCGCGGUCAUACGUAGGAUCCGAGCAUUAUCCGGAGUGACUGGGUGUAAAGAGUUGCGUAGGUGGCAUAAUAAGUAGCUAGUGAAAUCUGGUGGCUCAACCAUUCAGACUAUUAGCUAAACUGUUAAGCUCGAGACCGUUAGGGGUAACUGGAAUUUCUAGUGUAGGAGUGAAAUCCGUAGAUAUUAGAAGGAACACCAAUAGCGUAGGCAGGUUGCUGGGACGGUUCUGACACUAAGGCACGAAAGCGUAGGGAGCAAACGGGAUUAGAUACCCGAGUAGUC